AGAGAGAGAGAGGUUGAUGCCCGGGUUUACUUCCUAGUCUGCCGGUUCCCUGUAUCGACCGGAUAGCGUCCCGACGUCUAUACCGCGUGUUCGCCCGCCUCUGCCCCGUCCUCCACCGCUCUCUCUAUAAACUCUGCUCUCUUUUCUUCUUUCCAUGUUGCGGCAACCGCGUCUGCAUCCGUUGGGGGAGGGAGGGAGGGAGGGGCGCAUCCCCGUCUGGCGUCUCUGGAAAAACCGUAGGUCAGUGCUGGACCGACGUCUGCAGAAUCGUGUCGGGAUAGGAGGAGUGUGGUGGGGAGAGGCGAAGUUGGACGAUGAUGCAGAUCUCUCUCUCUCUCUCUCUCUUCGAGAGGAGAGGUUCGAUUUUUCUUGCUGUUUCGCGGGAAGGAAGUUCGUGAUCGAUUAAUUAAUUGAUUAAUUUCCGCGGGGACGAUGAUGAUGAUUGAAUUUUUGGAAUUUUUGAUGAACGAUCUGUCUCUCCUUUUAUGGAUAUUUUUGUUUUUCUUUUUUUUUUUUAAGGAAGAUUAAGAUUAAGAUUAAGAUACAGUUCGGUUAGGAUAUUUCGUUGAAAUGUUUUUUCAAGAAACAACAACAUCGUUCUUUUCUUCUAGUCGACGUCGAUCAUCGAUCCUGCGACAAACCACGGAGAAACUCGAUUACGAAGAUUGACGUUCACCGGCAGCAACUUUCCAAGAAUUCCAAGCACGUUAAGAGGCAGAAAUACCGACAUAUUGAAACGGGUUAAAUGAUAAUCAGAGACCGUGGGAGUGGUAGUUCCUCGAGGGUGCGCCGGUUGUUUUACUCUCGAACAGACGACUGACCGCGAUCGCCAUUUCGGCUAACUUUUUUCCUUUUUUUUUCUUUUUCCUCUCUUUUACCGGGUUAACCAUAUUGUUGCGGUCAUACAGUUGUUUUUUUCUUUUUUAAAUUAUCAUAAAUUGCCGUUGUCAUUCGUAAAUUCAGAAUCAGAAUCGAUUUUUGAAUCUUUGAUCUUCCAGAUCUUUUUGAUUCUGUUAAAAAUCGUGUAAUGUUUUGCCUUAUUUGAAUUAAUCUUGUAAGUCGAGAUUUUAUUUUAUAUUCAAUUUUUAAUGGGUGUCUUCUUCUAUUUCUUCUUCUUUUUUUUUAUUCGUUUAUUCCAUGUUUGAUUCGUUCAGAAGAAAGUAAUUUUUUAAUCUUGAAAUAAGCGUAACAAUAGAGUUGAAGAAAAAAUACGUAGAGGGAAUCGGUAAAUGAGAAUGUUUAGAAACGACACGGAAUACUUCAAUUGAGUUCAAAUGUUUUUUGCAACUGAAAAUUAAGUUUUUUUUUUCUGAUAAUUAGAGUAAAACGUAUAAUUAUUUUAUUUUUAAAUCAAAGCAAUGUUCUCUUUAUAUAUUCUCAAUGCUGAUGAAGUCUAGACGGUAAAAAAAAAUGUUCUGUGACAUUUUCAUAAAUUGCAGCUCUGAACUUGGAUCUUGUAAAAAAGACAUGACAUGGUUAUAUUUUACGGUUAAUUGUAAGAGAGAGAGAGAGAGAAAGAAAAAAUAAACGCAACUUUUUACAGCGUUGGAUAUUUUAUUUAGGUUAAUUACCAAGGUGUAAAUGGAAAUGUAUUAUGUUUCUUCCAGAUCUUUGAUGAAUUGGGAUGGAAUGUGUAUAAUGCUUUAUGACGUAUUGCAUGAUGUGUCGUAAGCCUGUAUUUCCACGUUUUUAGUUAUCAAUCUGAUUAGAAAAUAAUGUGUAUAAUGUGAUCCACUGUAAUGUUGAAGAAUUGUAUUGUAAAUGGGUCGAUGUUGAUGAAUAAUUUAUAUGAUGUAUUGCUAUGUUUUUAACCAUAUUUUAACAUUGACAUAACCAUUCUUCUAAUUGCAUAAACAUAUUAUAAAUAAGUAAAAAUUAAUAUUACUUGAAACUUAUUUCGAUUAUGUAAAGAUCAUCAUAUAUAUGUGAAUAAUACACAUAUAUAAUACGCUAUAUCAUUCAAUCCGUAAUUAUAAGUCAUAAUUUAUAUAAUACAAUACUAUAAUAUUAAAAAUUGUAAUAUUCACACUUUUUAAAAAGAAAUUAAAAAAUAAUUUUUAGAAACAAGAAUUUUGAAUCGAAAAGCGACUGAAACGCCCUCACUUCGAUGCGUCAUUCUUUGUAAAGUUAACCUGUUGAUUAAGAAGAACGUGUUUGUUCGUAUUACGUGGAUUAUUUGCAAUUUUGUUAUAAUUUGUGUCGUGCCAGUGAUUUUUCUUUCUACGUAGACAUAAAUGUACAUUAAUCUCAUAUCAUUUUUCACAAUUUCGACGUGUCAACUGGUCGAAAGAUAAACUCAUUACGUUUCUCACGAUUUUAGUUGUCCUCUUUAGGUUAUCAUCACGUUUGUUACGCUUAAAAUUGAACUAACGAAAAUAUAUUCUGUCGUAUAAUUCUCUAAAGAAAAUUAACUUUUACAAAAUUUUCAUAUUUUAAAAUUAUUUUAUUAAUAGGGUUAUUUCUUAACCAAAAACUUAUUACAGAAAUUGAAAUUUAUUAUUAGAUAAGUGUGAAUAUGACAUAAUAUAGUCUGAAUAUAAAUACAAUGAUGAAUAGGGGAUUUUACAUUUUAAAUAGGAGAUUCGUAAAUAAAAAAUUUAUUACAUCCAAGAUUGAUUACAUAUUAAUAAUUCAUAAGUUAACUCGUCUUUCUCAGUUAUAGAAAAUUACAUAUUGCAAUCAUGUUUUCAAAUAACACUACAAUCUUCUUCCGUCAAUUCUUUUCUUUUGAUCAGUAUCGUUUCUCGAUUAUAAACGAAUAUUUUUUUCAUAUAAUCUAACCUAACUUCAUGCAAUCGAUUACACGAUCUCGCGAUGACGCGAAAUCGAUACGAGAUACUUUCGUGCCAUUGCAAGAUUGUAUAGCAUUGUCGAUUUUCAUUGUUGAGGAAUCGCACGAAAUUCGCGACUCGUUAUAAGUUAUAAAACUACGAAACAUCUCGACAUUUCUCAUAUUUGAAAGCGGUGCCGCGGUGCAACGAACAAUUACGUAACAUGGCAGCCAAGCAAGUGGAGUUGGCAAUCCUGUUCUCUUUUGAGACGCGCCCACCUUCUGUAUUUACAUAUAUUUACAUGUUAAUAUGUAGGGUGCAUCGGAUAACGUUACCACCUCGAGCGAUUCAUUUCUUAGUCGUGUUAACAGAUCGAAAAGUGAUUCAAAAAAAUGCGAGAAGCUGAGGUCAUAUUGUAUGAAUGAAUCGUGAUAUAAUGUGAAUAUUACAGUGUUCGAUACGAGUGUUCGAUCAUGUUGCUAUACAUGAGCUAGUAAGAAAAGUGUUUAAAAAUUGUUCUUUUUUUCUUUCUUUUACAUUCAAUUAUCGAUCAAUCAUCGUAUUAAUACUUUAAUUGCGAAUAUAUAUAUGAUAAAUUUUUCUUAGUUAAUAGUUUAACGUUAUACGAAUAGAUUAAAGGAAGUAGAUUAUAGUGAAAAAAUAUAAACUAACCUAUACAAAUUAGUGUUUAUUGUUAUAAAAUAAUAAUUAUAAAAAUCAAAUAUUUGACGUGCAGAGAAGAAUGCAUAUUUUUGAGUAAUAUUAAAUUAUUAAAUAAAAAUUUAGAAUAGAUUUCGUAUUAAAAUCAUUCGUAAGAAUAUGUAUGUAAACGUUCGAAGUAUAAUAAGCGAGGAGUGGGAGAAAGCUGAAUUCCGGCAGUUGUGCGUAGCAAGUCGUUUUGUUUACAUCGAUUAUUGCGUCGUUUUGAUUUUCUACGUAAAAGUAAGAUCCAUGUACCGUCGUUUCACGAAUUCCCCACCCCCCUCUCCCCAAACCUCGAAGGGCCAUUUAUUAAACGCUGGAUCAGAAAGACUCGGCAUGUUCAAGUCUCGUCAUAAUUUCACCAGGAAACAAAGAAAAAAGAAAAACGAUAAAUCAAUCUCCUCUUCCCCGACAAUCAAACUUUUGCCCCGCACUGUAAUGCGAGACUUCCCUCCUUCCUCCCCCUCCCCCCUCCCCUCCAUACCCAUAUCCGCGCGCGCACAAAAGAUCCCAUCGAGGAGGGUAUCCGUCGUGGAUUCAGCCGUUGCAACGAGCUUACCUGUUCACGUGCCGGUUGAAGGUGACCGUGCCUCCUAGCCAGGAGUGCAUCGAACGAGGUAUCCAGGCUGACACCCACGCCGCCACGUUUUCUGGGCCGAAAAAUCGCGGGAGAGCGCCGUUCACUUCCGCGUGGCCUGCGCGCGCGCGCGCACGCAACCAAGCCAGCCAACCAGACGGAGCCAGAGUGCAAGCGAGCGCGGAGAGACCCGGGUUCCGGGUCGGUUUUUCGCCCUGAAAACGUCGCGAUUGUCGAGGCCCGGCCUGGGCGAGCCGGGCGUGACCAGUUCUCCAUGUAUAUAUAUAUAUAUAUAUAUGUAUAUUUAUGUAUGUGUGUGUGUUUAUAUUUUUUCCUUUUUUUCUCUCUCUCACUCUCUUCUCUCCUCCUCCCUCUUUCUCCUUCUCCGCUCUCUGAUCUCCUUCUUCGCGCCCCUUUUUUUUUCUUCUCGGGAGAGACGCGCACACUUGUGCACGCACAGCUUCGAACGGACACCGAGGUUCGUGCCGGCGGCGGUUGUGUUUCAAUCUCUUUCGAGACGAUUCACCUUUUCCCUUUUUUCUUUUUU